rnacentral:rRNA from 1 species
AUUGAACGCUGGCGGCAUGCCUUACACAUGCAAGUCGAACGGCAGCACGGACUUCGGUCUGGUGGCGAGUGGCGAACGGGUGAGUAAUGCAUCGGAACGUGCCAUUGAGUGGGGGAUAACGUAGCGAAAGUUGCGCUAAUACCGCAUAUUCUGUGAGCAGGAAAGCAGGGGACCGCAAGGCCUUGCGCUCUUUGAGCGGCCGAUGUCAGAUUAGCUAGUUGGUGAGGUAAAGGCUUACCAAGGCGACGAUCUGUAGCGGGUCUGAGAGGAUGAUCCGCCACACUGGAACUGAGACACGGUCCAGACUCCUACGGGAGGCAGCAGUGGGAAUUUUGGACAAUGGGGGCAACCCUGAUCCAGCCAUGCCGCGUGAGUGAAGAAGGCCUCGG